AGAGAAGAUGCUAUUGAGAUAUUGAAGAAUCUGAGGUUUACCUUUCCUCUGACUUUUCUUUAGAUGAUUAUUGGAAGGUAUGAUAUUCAGGACUAGAGAGAUGGUUCAAUGGUUCAGAGCUCUGGGUGUUCUUCUAGAGAAGCCAGGUUUAAUUCCCACUACCCACAUGGCACCUCACAAGCAUCUGUAAUUCUAGUCCUUAUCUUGACCCACGGGAUUCAGUUAUUCAUGGGUGUGAGGGGGACCGUGAACCUGGAAGGAAAUGGGAGGAAAAGAAAGAGAGCCGGAGGACCAAGUAGAUUGAACCUAUCAAGGUCUCGUUUAUUAAGCAGAGGUGCUUUCUUUUUAAAGCAUACAUCGCGGAAAAUAGGGGAGGGGUCGAGGGAGAAUUAUACAAAGAACAAGGGAAAGGACAACUGCUGACAUGGGGGCUGAAAUCAGGCGCCAAGCAGGUACUUCGCAUCUUAUCUCCUCUGGAGCCUUGAUCCUCCUCAACAGCCUUGGGAGUCAAGCUGGGCUCAGGCACAGCUCAUGUCCUUGGAUGUCAUGGGAACUCAGGAAGAGAUAGGGAAGAGGGGACUGUUAUUCAAAUUUUACAGCCUUAGGUGUUAGGAAGGGAAUAAGGAGGAAGGGGUGUGUGUGUGACAACCAGCUCUUAGUACAAGGCCCUUUGACUUGUCAAGGAGAUUGUGAAGGGAUCACUUUCUCACUGGAUGGUCUCUAACAAGUCCUAGGGAAUACAAUACCUUCUUCUGACCUCUGUGGGCAUCAGGCAUACAAGAGGUGCAUAGACAGGCAUGAAAACAAAACUCUUAUACACAUGGAACAGUUUUUAAAUUUUACUAUUGUUCAGUCUUUUUCUUGAUCCAGUACAGUUUGAGAUGUAUAACUUAGAAUAAUUAGGACAAAUAUGGCAUUUAGAACUAAAAUAGAAGAAGCAAAAACACAAUACAUCAAGUAAAACAAACAAAGGCAAACGAGGAUGGUGGAUGCAGAUUCAAGAUUAGCCUAGUCCAAGUUUAUGCCAUAGGUAACUAAGAUAGGCAGCUAUUAUACAAAGCUAUCAGACAUUUUUGUAGUAUAGUUUGUAAAUAAUAUAUUUUAUGCUUUUUGGUUCACAUAUAUAAAUUAAUACAUUAAUUCUAAAUUAUUUCAUGUGUAUAGUUCUCUCUUGAUAUCUAAAUUGUUGUUAUAUCUACAUUCGCUCUCUUCAUGGAAGGAAAUUGAAGCUUAGGGUCAUGUGUCAGGGUCACAGUCCCUGAAGAGAGACCAGAAGGCUAUUGAUGAGGGUGCAACCUCAGUUAUAGUGAAUACUCCACUUAAGAUGUCAGUGUUGUGAGAUGACUAACAAGGACAAUGGCAGGUAUGAAGUGGAGCCUACCUCUUGUGUGUGGUAUGGAUGCAGAGCCAGAGUAGAGUCCUUGGAGCUCAGAAGAUAGGGAGUGUGUUUAAGACUUUUCUUGGACACUGAGCUACACUACUGCUGUUUGGUUUUGCUUUCCUCUGACUGUUACUGUGUUCUGCUUUUUCUCAUUUAGAUGUAAGUAUGUAAGUAAUUUUUUUUUAGUUUAUAGGAGCCUAUAGCCAAGACACUGUGGAGUUUUAAAGAGAUGGAUAUUUUGAGAGACUGAAAUUUUAAAGUAGGAUUGGUAAAGUUGUACUCUGUUUUAUAUUGUGAUAUUAACAUGAGAUCGAAGGG
rnacentral:lncRNA from 1 species